rnacentral:lncRNA from 1 species
UUUAGAUGAGAAAUUACUUAGGACUAACUAGCAGAGUUUUGGGUAAGAUCUGAGCACACUACAGAAUCAUGAGAGGCAGGAAAGCUUUGUGUGGAACCUGAGCAGUCCCAGUCAAUGGACAUGUAAGGCACCUAAGAAAUACCGAUUCCCAGGCCUCACUCCCUGGAGACUGGGGUAGUAAAUCUGGGAUGGGGCCAGGAAUUAAAAUUUCCAAAUGAUUUUAAACAGCCAGAUUUGAACACCACUGGUGGUGUAUGGGUUAUGCGAAACAUGGUCCUGGGAGA